GGGUUAUAGGUCCUGUGAUCAAGCAGGCUAUUGGUGACUGCCGUAAGAGGACAACGAUCGUGUCGAGAAUCAUUUCUAACAUUGAAAAUGGCAAGAAAAACAGUCGCAAAUUCGAAAACAAAACAAAAAAAUUAGAACAAUAGACGAAUUCUCAUCAACGUGGUUUCAGAAUACGACACAAGAAGAGCGUCUGAAAAAUACAGAAAGUGUUAGUAAGUUACAGCACGAAACGUGUGGUGCGUAGGAAGGUUGGGGGGGAGGGGUAGUUACAGCUCACGACUACGUGGCAACUUAAGGUUUCUGGAUAUAGCAGGUAUAAUGUUGAGUGAGGCGCCGUGUGUGUCUCACCACCAUUCAGUGAUCAGACUGGCUACCAGAAGCAGUACUUAUCAGCAAUGAUGAUGUUAACGGGUAAAUCUUCGCGAAAUCUUCUGUUGCUUCUGACCGUUGGUAUUGUUCUUCUGUUUUAUGUAGGACAAGACCGGGUCGUAAUUCAAGUGGAUAGACCUCAAAUUGACG